AACGAACGCUGGCGGCAGGCUUAACACAUGCAAGUCGAACGGAUCCUUCGGGAUCAGUGGCGGACGGGUGAGUAACGCGUGGGAACCUACCCUGGGGGUGGGGAAUAACCUUGGGAAACCGAGGCUAAUACCGCAUACGCCCUAUUGGGGAAAGACUAUGUUGCCCUGGGAUGGGCCCGCGUCCGAUUAGCUAGUUGGUGGGGGUAAUGGCCUACCAAGGCUGCGAUCGGUAGCUGGUCUGAGAGGAUGAUCAGCCACACUGGGACUGAGACACGGCCCAGACUCCUACGGGAGGCAGCAGUGGGAAUAUUGGACAAUGGGGGGCAACCCUGAUCCAGCCAUGCCGC
rnacentral:rRNA from 1 species